rnacentral:rRNA from 1 species
UACAGAGGUCCCAAGCGUUGUUCGGAUUCACUGGGCGUAAAGGGUGCGUAGGCGGUCGGGUAAGUCUGAUGUGAAAUCUCACAGCUUAACUGUGAAUCUGCAUUGGAUACUAUCCGGCUCGAGGAAUGGAGGGGAGACUGGAAUACUUGGUGUAGCAGUGAAAUGCGUAGAUAUCAAGUGGAACACCAGUGGCGAAGGCGAGUCUCUGGACAUUUCCUGAUGCUGAGGCACGAAAGCCAGGGGAGCAAACGGG